rnacentral:rRNA from 1 species
UACAGAGGGGGCAAGCGUUGUUCGGAAUUACUGGGCGUAAAGGGCGCGUAGGCGGCCUGUUAAGUCGAACGUGAAAUCCCCAGGCUUAACCUGGGAACUGCGUGUGAUACUGGAUGGCUUGAAUCCGGGAGAGGGAUGCGGAAUUCCAGGUGUAGCGGUGAAAUGCGUAGAUAUCUGGAGGAACACCGGUGGCGAAGGCGGCAUCCUGGACCGGUAUUGACACUGAAAAGCGAAAGCCAGGGGAGCAAACGGG